rnacentral:misc_RNA from 1 species
GAGGGCGUGUGAAACGAGAGCGCACCGCGCUUCGGCUCGAAGGACCAAAAGUGCCAGCCUCGUCACAGUUCGAGUUGAGCCGUCUCGCGAGCAGGACACCAAACGCGGAGGCUGACAUAUCCUGUGUGGGCCAGGUACUGUGGCUACUUGGGAACCAGGAACCCAGGCUAUAGAACCUAUAGCUUUUCUAACUUUUCCCGGCCAAGGUGUGCGUGUGCGCGAGUGUGGGUAUCCUGGCUGUUGCUGCUGUGCGUGUGCGUGUGUGUGUGUGCGUGUGCGUAGCCGUGUUGUUGGCCAAACAAAAGCCAGAAUAAGUGACGAGUAAAUUUAUAACCGCGCGCUUAACACACGCUACCUGAAAAUAUACAUUUCCCAUUAAGUACCAAAAAUAAAAAAAUAAAUUGUUUAGACGCGCAGAACUCCAGCCACGCAGCCCGAUUUCAAAUCGAAAGCCAAAAACCGAAUGCACAUCGACGGCGCACAACAAAUCGAGCAGCACGAUGCCAACUCAAUGCUGAUGAUGAUUUAGAUGGCAAAGGAUCUGGAACCGUUGGUGUAGCCAUAUUCGAAUCCCCGAAUCCGAGUCUGUUUGUGAAACUGAAGGCGGUGGUGGCGGCGGAACAGAAAUGAAAUCAAAUCGCACAGGAGCAGCUGCAGCCGGCGGCAAUAACACCGUUUGUGAGUUAUGGCCAAUGUUAAUUAAAAGCCAAGUGCGCAACUAGAGCUACACAUAAAUCAAUCCCUGGAUUCGAGUGUUGGCGCAACAUGCAGAACUGGCAUGCCAAUAUACCCCUGUCAAUGCCUAUUUACAUGGCCAGUGAAAAAUGGCCAGCAGAGGAGAGAGCAAAUAAUACCUGGCCCAGAGAAACCACAACAAACCAAAUCAAAAUGACUUAAAGCGGCUUACAAAAGCGGCCAGCCAAAACAAAAGCGAACAUAACGUAUUCGCACCGUCCAACACGGCGGAUGCAUGAUAAAUUGCACUUUAAACACACAAGCGAAGCGAACGAGUAACGCAUUUUCAAUCAAAGAAGAAAGCCAGUGAACAACAAAAAAAACAGCUUCAAAAUGUUGCCAACAAAUGUGAUGUCAUUCAUGAAAAAGAUGGUGGCCACCGACGAGCAGCCCAGCGAAAGGCAGCAACAUGCAGCGGACUCCGGAGGAGGCGCCUCCCAAACGGGGGCCCUGAACAAGAUGAAGGCUACGAUUUCCUCCUCGCUGCUCACCGUCACAGAUAAAGUUAAUAAAAUGUCGCCACGCCCCUCGCUGGUGCCAACGGAUGCGGACACCAGCGGCAGUUACGGCUCGCCCAGCUAUCAAAGCCAGCAGCAACAGCAGCAGCAGCAGCAACAGGACUACGGCAGCAGUCUGAACAACAACAAUAACAACAGCAGCAGCAGCACGGCGACAGCGGGCGGCGGGGGAGGCGGAGCGGCGGCCAAACAGGAGCCAGGACGAAGGGCCGGUGCCUGCCGGGUGUGUCUGAAGUCCUUCAAGCCGGACGACUACCACAAGACGUGCUUCGAGUGCCAGCAGCGAGUGUGCGAGGACUGCGCCAGCUACAGCAAGCUGGACGAGCACGAGGAUGCGACCAUGUGGCGCUGCAGCGUGUGCCGCAGGAAAAUGGCAUCGCGGGUGUGCAUUCCGCAGGACUCGACGGACUCGAUGCUGGACGUUCCGGUGCUGGAGGCACUGCAGCGGCGCCACUCGGACGCCAAGCUGGGCAGCAGCACGCAGACCCUGGCCCCCAGCAAUGGAGCAGCACUUGCCCCGCCGCGAAGUCCCGAACUGCGACGCCACUCGGAUGUGUCGCCAGCCUCGCUGAAGGAGUUGGAGCGGCAACUGAAAGGUGGCCGCAGCAUGGCGCCCAGUCGCUCCAACAGUCCGCCGCGGGGCGAGGGCCCAGAUGGACAGCCCCCCUUCGGUGCGCCCCUGUCGCGCAUGCAAUCGCGCAGGGGGUCGCGGGUGGCGCGGCAGCACAGCUACGAUGACGACAUGAAGACCGGACCCGUGGGCGGCAGCAUGGGCGGCGGUGGUCCGGCGCUGGGCUUGGGCGCGGAUGGAGCGGGCCUCGGCAUUCCGGCCAUGCCACGCAGGAAGUCCGCCUACGAUGUGUUUGCCCCCGGGCUGACGCAAGGUGGUGCCACUCCUGCCACGCAGCUGCAGAGGUCGCCCGGCGAGGGCGGCAUCAUGCCGCCCAUCCAGCUGCCCGGAUCCAGGCGACCCUCGUUCCGGGUGCCACAUCCCUCGGAGGACAUCCAGAACGACGACUCGCCGGGCUCGCCGGAUAAGGGCAGCCCCGUCCUCACCGUCGACGAUGACCGGCGGAUGCGGCGACGCGGAUCGCAGCUACCCGAUAUAGCCAUGCUGCAGAAUCGCGGUGCCCUGCCGGCGGUUCCGCCCUCCUCGAUUCCGCCGCCCAUGGCUUCAUUUACGGGCCCCAAUCUGGAGGAUUUGGAGGCGCCGCGACGACAAACAUCAAUGGACGGCGAGGCCAUACGGAUCGUAAUUCACGACGUGGAUUCGGGCCCGAUUUGUGCAUCUAAGCGGCGCAUCAUUCUGCGCCGGGAUCCCACGGACAAGGCGCACCGCACACGUGGCUUUGGAAUGCGCGUCGUCGGCGGAAAAACCGGAGCCGAUGGCCGUCUGUUCGCCUACAUUGUGUGGACCGUUCCAGGAGGAGCGGCCGAGAAGAAUGGCCUGCAGCAGGGCGACAAGAUACUCGAAUGGAAUGGAAUGUCGCUGAUCGACCGGAGCUUUGAGGAGGUCUGCUCCAUCAUGGACCGAACUGGGGACGUUGUGGAGCUGCUGGUGGAGCAUGCCACGGACUUCCGGAUGUGCGAUCUCUUCGAUGAGAACCUGCCGCCCGGCAAUGCCGGCGGUCAAAGCGGACCUCGCAGAUCCGGAGACGGUCCCGUCGGACUGGGCCUCAUAGCGGAACCCGAAACCACCACAGACAAAUCACCAGCAUCGCCAACUAGACGGAAAUUACCAAAAACUCCGGAGCAAAUUGCCCGCGAGAAGCUGGUCACCGGAAGGGUCCAGAUCCAGGUUUGGUACCAUGCCGAGCGCAGCGAACUGGUCGUCUCCCUGAUGGCCGGCGAUGACUUGGCAUUGCGGGACGAGGCCUACGGACACGGCAAUCUGCCCGAGGCGUACGCCAAGGUCCGCAUUCUGCCCAAAUGUGGCGAUGGCUGCGUGCAACAAACGGAGGUCAGCCGACCCACCCAGAACCCGAUUUGGAAUGCUACACUGACCUUCGGUCAUGUGAAGGCCGACACCUUGAUGGAUCGCUACAUAGACAUCCAGCUGUGGGACCUGGUGCCCCACACCGAGUCCAUUUUCCUGGGCGAGUGCAGCAUCGAGCUGCAGCAGGCCUUCCUCGACGACCAGGCCAUCUGGUGCCGCUUGGAGGACACCAAAGGGCUGCGUGGCAUUAGCAUCAGCAAAUCACCGAGUGUAUCCCCACGCGGCUCCAUCGCAGCCGGAGCAGGUGCACCCAGUGGCGAUGUUACUCGGUUGCUGCGUCGCGACUACAAUAUGCAGCGGUCCAACUCCGAUGAUGUAGACUCCAUCGGAGAUGGAACUUCACUGCUGCAUCCGGAUCACGCGUGGAUAGCUGGCUCGCGACGCGGUUCCUCCCAGUCGGAAACCAUGGAGGUGGAGGUCUACCAGCUGGGCAAGGACUUCUCGCGCUCAUUGCCGGGUUCGCGUCGAUCGAGCUUCCAGGAUGCCGAAAAGAAUCGGCUGGAGGAGGACGCCAUGGCCACGCCGCCCACCUCUUAUUUGGUGGGACGGCGCCGUUCGUCCGUGGCUCGGCGCGAUCCGGAUGAGAUCUUGAAAUCCUUGAAGGCUGUCCGCGGUGAGCUGGGGCGCACCAUGAGUCUGGGCACCGAGCAGCACAAGCGCAUGGGAUCGAGACCCACAAUAUCGGUGUCGCAUUAUCAAAGCUUUGACACACCCUACACAAACUGGACAAAACACUAAACGAAACGAAACGUAACGAAAGCCCAGCAAAGCCACACAAAACUUAAUUAAAUCCAAUGCAAAAUCAAAUAAACUAUGCAUAAAGCACUAACUAAAGCCACUUAUUUAAAGCCCUCAGCACCUGUCAGUUACUCGUAAUUCUUUUGCUUAAUCUAAUCUAAUGAAAAGGGCUCACUCUCGAGUGGCCCAACAACCACCACACUGCACCACCAGAGCAACCACAAAUGGUAGUAAAACAGAAAACCAAAAAUUGUUGAAAAACCAAAAAAAAAACCUUAAACCCUUUUGUAAACUAUACAAGAAACUAGAAAUACCUGCAAAUUGAGCUUAGCAGCAAGUAUUUAACAGACAUAAAAUGCAUAGAAAGCAAGAACUACAGUAUGUACCACACUAGAAACACCACCAAAAACAUCACUCACCACCACUGGUGCCAGUCGCGUUGGAUUGCCGAGCGGACCGAGUAGCCGCAAGAGUUCCGUCUUGGAUUUGUCGCAGCAGCAUCAGCA